GCCCCGGUAGCUCAGCGGAGAGAGCGGCCGAAAACGUCAUAGCGGUGGCACGGCGGGAGAGUUGCGGAUGCACCGGGACCGGGCCGGUGGUGUAGAAGACCACGGGACAGGGAACCUCAGCCCCCGGCAGGGAAGCGCGUUGCCUCACCGUCGACUAGGGGGCGUGGGUUCGAAUCCCACCCGGGGCA
rnacentral:tRNA from 1 species